UUUUAUAGAAUCCAAACAGUUAGAUAUGAAAGCAUUGAACAAACACAGGAAAUGUUAAAUGAGGAAGAAGAGAAUUUCUUUGCAAGAGGAAGAAGUGGAUUCACCUCAGCCAUCAUUACCUCCAUCUCCAUCUCCACCAUCACAAAACAUUAAGACUGGUGGCUACCAUACAAGAGCACUAAGCGAGAAUACGUGUAUUCUAAUGAUUUGGAAAAACGUGUUAAUUUGAAGCCACCUAGAAGUGUAAAAACUAUUGAAUAUCAAGAAAUAAUUCUCCCAUCAGAAUUUUAGCUACCUACUGUGACCAUGGAGAGAGUUUCCUAAACUGAAUUGUGCAUUGCAUCUUUCAAGGAAACUGAUCAAAAAGCGCUAAACUCACAAGGGUCAUACAACACUUAAGUAAUAGCAAAAGAAAUAGUUACAUUGCGACAUUAGAUUGAACUAAAUAUGUACAUUAAAAUGCUUGCUUCAUCGUACUGUGAUUACCUCCUUUAAAAUUUCUUUUGCUGUGAUAUAAAAUGUAUUUGCUUUUAUAAAGUAAUAAAAUGUGGAGUUA